GUUGACCUCGGAUCAGGUAGGUA
rnacentral:rRNA from 1 species